rnacentral:lncRNA from 1 species
GGGAAACGGGGUGGAGAAACAACACAGACACAAAAGUGAAGGUGCUGAAUCCCAAUCUUUACUUGUGAAGUUAAUCAUAUAUACUCUGCGUUUUGGCAGGCUCGAAGUAUUUUGUGGUUACAAAACAGGAAUCAUUAUUCAAAGAAACAAAAUAUUAUGUAGCUACAAUUAGAUAAGAAGAAUGUAUCUUGGCUUAUGCAUAAGCAAGCAUUUUUACUUUCAGUUCCCGUUUUGCUUUGAGCUGUUUCUGCUUAGUUAGCUUUUAAUAAUAGUUAGAAAUGUCCCAGACUAUUGGCCUGUACCUUGACUAUUCUUUCUUGACUUACUGACUAGAACCGGCGCUGCAGUUAUGGCAGAUGGUUCACUUGAAAAGAGAGGCUACUAAUUUUAAUCAAACGAGCAAGAGCACAAACCAUUGUGCACAGGAACAAGAACAAGUUACCCAGUACUAAGCACUAAUCUUUCUUCUUAAUAUUAAUUCUUCUUCUCUAGAUUUAAUUUAAUUUCUCAAAAACUUCCUUGACUGUUUUUCCCACAGGGAGUUUCUCAUUAAACAUUAACAAUUUACUUUCCACAGCUGAAUCGUUGCAUUUAGAGCAAACAGAUUUAUUCUUUAGAAGUAGUUGCAUUAAUUGGGAAAGUCACUUUUUUUCCUUCAUACUUAAUGGUCAUAUGAGAAGUCGCAACUAUACUUAUUAAAAGAAUACAAAAACAAACCAGCCAAUUCCUAGAAGCAUACUGCACUCCUCCAGAGAAUGGACGCCUUGUGCCUUCCACCUCAGUAGGGCCUUGCCAUUGCCUGAGUCAGGGGAGGGGCGCAGCACCCAUCCACUGGAAACUUAAUAAAUUUGUCUAUCAUAUAUAUUUCAUAUAAUAGGGGUUCUUUUCACUUAGCUUACUUCCCUUGAAAACCAUGUUGUCAGGCUUCACCCAUGUUGUAGCAUAUACCAGAGCUUCAUUCUGUUCUCUGGAUGAAUAAUAUAAAAAGCGCAUACCACAUUUUAUUUAUCCAUUCAUCUGUUGACAGACACUUAGGUUGUUUGAGUAUUGUGAAUAGUGCUUCAAACAUAAUUUUUAUACAAGUAUCUGGUUGAGUCCCUGUGUUUGGGCCUUUGGGGUAUAUAAAUAAGAGUAGAAUUAUAGAGUCAUAUGGUUAAUUCAGCAUAUAGCUUUUUGAGGAGCAGUGAGUGACU